CGGGAAAGAUCAAAAGUAUGUAACAUGCUUAACAUGGGUUCAAAGCAAUGCAACAUGAACACAGAACACGAUACUAACAUGUACAUAACGAACCAUACGAAAUCACUAACUUUUUCAAAUAUAAUACUACCUAGAGCAACUUAGAUCUACCCGAAACGUAAUUAACUAUUGUACCCUUAAAACUAAAUCAACUCAAGUCUCCAGUCAACUACCAAACCUAAAACUCUUAUCUCCAAGUCCUUCAAGAAGUUUGAUCCACGUACCAAAAACCACUUCCAAGUGCCAAAACCUCAUGUUCCUAUUCAAAACAUCUAACCAACAACACUAGAUUUAUACUGUACUAUAAAACUAGAUUCUUUGCGUAUACUAUAUACAAGCAGAAGUCAAACACACACGCCACCCCAACUCACCACAUACAAUCAUGCAUACACACACAUCACCAAAACCACCAACACUCCACCGUCUCUUUAUACUCUACAAUAAAAUUAGAUAAUCACACACACCACCCCAACUCACCGUGUACAGCCAUGCAUACACACACAUCACCAAAACCACCAACACUCCUCUCUCUCUCUCUCUCGCUCUCUCUCAUUACCAUCCUACACCAAAAUCACAUAUUUU